rnacentral:lncRNA from 10 species
GAACUACUCAUAGGAAAUGACAUUAGAGGAAGACUUCAAAGAAACAUUAAGAACUUGGAUCCCAUUCACCUGAGGCACCCGAAGAAGAGACCAUCCAUAUUUCCAGUGUCUCUCUCAUGUUUAAGCUUUUUUCGGAAUCAAGCCCACAUUCUUCAGCACGGCAUUGAAGACUCAGGAGCCCUCCCAGUCUGGCCCCAUGCACAGAUGGAAGGCUUUCUUUCCUGGUCCUUAUCCUUCUCUGCACAAUACUCCAGUCACACCACACCAUGGACUGCUCUCUGACCCUCAUGGCAUUCCAGUGGCGUUAUGCUCUCAUACAGCCUUCCUCAUUUGCCCACCUUGCUUGUCUCUGACUCAUAUUCUAUUCCAAGGCUAAGCUCAAAUGUCAUCAUAUCUCUCAAACUGUCCCUCACACUCCCACCCCCACAUGAUUUAGUUGUAUUCUGCCUUUUGUUCCACAGGUCUUUGUACAUCAUGGUAUUAUGGUGUUUAAGUCUGUACAUAUGUAUUUGUAUUGCCAUCCCCAACCCAGGCUCCAAGCCUUCUGAAGGUAGAAAACUGUAUCACAUAAAUGAAGAAUGAAUGAAUGAAUGAAUGAGUAAAUAUUUAGCCUAU